GACGAACGCUGGCGGCGUGCUUAACACAUGCAAGUCGAGCGGAGCGGCGAACGGGUGAGUAACGCGUGAGUAACUGCCCCCCUCUCUGGGAUAACAGUUGGAAACGGCUGCUAAUACCGGAUAGUGGGGUAUGACUCGCGUCCUAUCAGCUUGUUGGGGGGGUAGUGGCCGACCAAGGCGACGACGGGUAGCCGGCCUGAGAGGGGGACCGGCCACAUUGGGCUGAGAGACGGCCCAAACGCCUACGGGAGGCAGCAGGGGGGAAUAUGGCACAAGGGGGGAAACCCUGAGGCAGCAACGCCGCGUGCGGGAUGACGGCCUUGGGGUUGGAAACCGCUUACGGCCAUGACGCGGUAGUGGCAGAAGAAGCACCGGCUAACUACGUGCCAGCAGCCGCGGUAAUUC
rnacentral:rRNA from 1 species